UUUCUGCUUUAUGCAUAUGUAUCGUCUGGGAUCGCUUCAAGCAGCGGCUUCGAUUUGGUUUUUGUAUUAAAAUUUUGCUAAACUAAAAAAUGUGUGUGCAGUUUGCCAGAGCUGGACAAGAGGAGGCAGCAAAAGAACCUGGCAGUGGCCCCAGCUUCGGUGGCGGGUUUUUCAGGCUGUCGCACAUACAGGCGCACUCACACACACACACAGAGAGAGAGACACAUUGAAAGGAAGGCCCCCGGUUGAAGAAGUGAUGACAACAACGACGUAUGAGCACCCGAGUUUGUGCCGCAUUUAAAUUUCAAAUUGUACAGAACAGAGACCGAACCCGAACCCGAGACCGAGACCAAGACCGAGAUCGAGCCCGAACCCGAUGCCGCUGCCGCAGCCGUAGCCUUAGACUCAAAAACCCGGCAGCUACUUGCUACCAAUGUUGUUGGGCCUGUAUCUUGAUGCCUCUGUGCAGGCAGCAUCCACAAGCAGAACACAACUGCAACAACAAGUGUGUGGGGCAGGUAGACACUAAAUCCAGCAGCAGCAGCAGCAGCGGCAGCAACAGCAACUACAGCUAGCUGGCUUUUCCUAUUGCCUUUCUUAUGGAAAUUUGAUGUUGUUGCCAAGUUAAGUUCAUUAAGUGUUAGUAUUUGAACCUCUGGCUGACAGUCGUUUGCCUUGCCAUCGAUACAAUCUCUGCAGCUCUUGCCGAUGACUUCGCAACGCCGAACAAAUUCCAAGUGGUUUUGGCAAAUGGCUGUGUCUGAGGUGGGUCCCGGCCCAGACGAACACACAAUGCACACACACGUGUACACAACACCUUCGAUAAGCUGGCAGCGCCUCACAUUUAACCAAUUUGGAGCAUACGCCUCUUGCGUUAGGCACAGCAAAAAAAAAAACGCAGGAUGAGCUGACAGUAAGGCCCACAAGGUAAAUAUUUUGAGUACUCACAGUUGGAGCAAGGCCAGUAGAUGCAAUAUGUAAGCAGCUGAAUGCCAUUGAACUAAUUGCAUUAAAGCUGUGCUCUUCUCUAAGCUCUUCUUAAAACUAA